CGGUAUGGUAGAGGCGCGAGACGCAAUAGUACUUACAAGGAGCUGGCUGUGAUGAAAUGUGAGGAAAGGGCGAAUUGCCGAAGUGACGGGGAAUGCUAAUUCCCGGCGCUGGGGCCGUAUUCAAUAGGUACGGCACUGUCAUCUUCGGAUGGUGAGCUAUCGCACUA
rnacentral:ncRNA from 1 species